CGUAUUCCAGCUGCACUCGGGUCGACUCGGGAAUCGGCUUGUCAUCUUGGAGCCAUUUCACCUCCGGAUGAGGGUAACCUGGGGGUAGACAGCAUCAGGAAUGUGCUUAAAUACAAGGAAACAGCAGAAAAGAGCUUCAGGAAGCGUCUCAUCUUCUCUUUCCUGAGGGACUUUGUGGGCCUGCGGUUCAGAGAGGUGAAGGAGGCCAUCCAGGGGUGGACCAAGGCCUCUAUGCACGACAACCUGCUCCUGUGCAGGUCAAGCAAAAACAGCAGACUUGUAAAAACCACAACUGGGAAAAACCAGGCAAUGUACUAUCAGACUAAAGUGACUCCAACUACUGGAGACAAAUUCCUUGCGUUUUAAUACACUUGGCCAAUAAAGAUGAUUCCAAUUCC